UGGGGAAUAUUGCACAAUGGAGGGAACUCUGAUGCAGCGACGCCGCGUGAACGAAGAAGGCUUUCGAGUCGUAAAGUUCUUUUAUAUGGGAAGAUAAUGACGGUACCAUAAGAAAAAGCCCCGGCUAACUACGUGCCAGCAGCCGCGGUAAUACGUAGGGGGCGAGCGUUAUCCGGAUUCAUUGGGCGUAAAGCGCGCGCAGGCGGCUCUUCAAGCGGAACCUCUAACCCCGGGGCUCAACCUCGGGCCGGGUUCCGAACUGGAGGGCUCGAGUGCGGUAGAGGCAGGCGGAAUUCCCGGUGUAGCGGUGGAAUGCGCAGAUAUCGGGAAGAACACCGAUGGCGAAGGCAGCCUGCUGGGCCGGCACUGACGCUGAGGCGCGAAAGCUAGGGGAGCGAACAGG
rnacentral:rRNA from 1 species